GGAUCUUCUCAGACAUCUGGCUGGGACUGAAUGGCUCAACUUCUGUAAAACAAAAGAAGACAUGACAUCAUCUUCCUGUUCCUAUGGGUUUUUUCGCAAUUGAAAUUGUUACCCCAGAGCCAUUCUAAACCAUGGUCAAAGAUAUAUCCACAAUCCUCCCCUGGAUUUUCCUCCCCUGGGGAUUCUGACAGAGGAGGGUGAAAGGCUUGAACCUCUACUUCCAUGAAUGAAUAGCCCGGCUUGAUCAACUUGAGUAUAAAUGCUGGAUUUGGGUGCAAGAUGAACCUGCAUGUAAUUCUCCAACCCACUUUAUAGAGGUCAGAGCAAGCAAAGCUGUCUUGUAUGAGACAACUUUCAUAUCUGCUUCCUCUAAGGGUUCAAAUGGGGCUUCCCUGAGUGCAUCCAGGACCAAGGACAGAUCCCCUGCUGGUAACAUGGGUCUGAGAACUGGUCUCAGGUGGCGCACACCCUUCAUAAAUCUAAUUAUGAUAGCAUACUGUUUCACCAUUAAAUCCCAUGUGACAUGAUGAAAUGGCCGCCAGGUACACUUUGAUUAUAUAGAAUGCCUUCCCUUCAUCUAGUAUCUCCUGAAGGAAGGUAAGAAUGCCAGGUACUGAGGAAAGGAAUGGUAUAUUUUGUCUUUCCUGACACCGUGUCUCAAAUUUUCUGGUGGAUUGCACUCUAGCACUCUGGAUGGUAAAAAGCCUAGAGCAUUAAGGUUAGACCUCUCACAGGCCAGACCCCGAGAUUCCACCUCUGUGGAUGUGAAUGAAAAAUCCUCCCUCAUACUAGGGAGGGAAAGUCUCUGGCCUGAGGAAGGUACCACAGACCUGAAUACAGCAGUUGAACUAUCUCCGCUGUCCAUGGCCUCCCAUUCACUCCAAAGCAAACAAAUCCACAUCUGCCUGGCCAUAUUUGUCCAAUAUCCCCUGACCACCUUUGGGUGGAGCCUCCAUUCCCCUAGGUGAUGAUUCCCCUGAUAUUUACUAGGCCUGGAACUUGUGUCGUGAGGGACAGCAAGUGUUUCCUGUUCCAUAGCAGCACUCUCCUUGCCAGGGCAUGCAGACUUCUCGACCGGAUGCCUCCCUGCCUAUUUAUUCCCUGUCUUGCCAAAUGAGCAGAGCCUUGAGACAGUGGCCUGAGACCUCCUUGUGCAGAUAUCUGGAGGGAUAUAAUUUCAGAGAAGCGGUCCAUCUCUCAUGAACAACAGCCCCAAAGGCACUACGGCUAUGACUGAAGCCAUGAGUCCCAGUCAUCUCAGACACAGUCAAAAAGAGACUGUCUUCCCUAGGCGAAACUGAUUCACACAGUUCCAUAAACUCCCCCUUUUCUGCUCUGAGAGGGUUGCCCAGUAAGUUAUUGAGUUCAGGUUCAAAAUCCAGAAAUACCACUGAUUGUGCUGGGGUUACAAGCUCGUCUUCUGGAUCACUACAAACCCCAGAGAAUUUAAAUGUAUUAAUACUGCUCUUGUAUGCAACUCCGCCAUCUCCCUUGAUCUGGCACAGAUUAACCAGUCAUUGAGAUAUGCUAAUAUCCUUAUGCCCUGCUGGCUCUAUGGUGUCAAUGCCACUUUCACACAUUUUGUGAAAAUGCUGGGUGCUAGAGAAAGGCUAAACGGUAGAACCCUGAACCCAUAUGUCGUGCCUUUGAACACAAACCUCUGUGCUGGGGAUGGAUCUGGAUGUGAAAAUAUGCAUCCUUUAGAUCAAUUAAGGUGAACCAGUCUGCCCUCUGUAUAGAAUGAUAUGUUUUUUUUAUGCAUCAGCAUUCUGAACUUGUAAUUCCUCAGGUAUUACCUGAGGAAUUACCUGAGUGCCUCCCACUUUCUUUGGAACAAGAAAAUACUGACUGAAGAACCCCUUCUUUGAUUCCUCUGCCGGUAUCACCUGAAUUGCUUUAUUGCUAAAUUUAUUUCCUACCUCAAAAUGUUUGCAUUCUCUCCCUUUACUUUUGACUGUCUUAUCCCUGAGAAACAAGUUUUUUUUCCUUUUUCUUUUUGCCACUUGAGCGAAGGACUUUCAUUGCCAGGAGGAAGGGUGUUUAUCCUGGUCAUAUGGAAUUUCCCCCCGUGAGGAUGUAUUUCCCCUCCUCAGGCCCUGCCAAAAUGCUUGUCCUCCUGCAGCUUCCACAUGUGAGAUUCGUCACAGUGUGGAUCUCCAUCCACACCUCAGUCACGUCUUUUCACUAAGACAAGGCCCCUGACAUCUCCAUCUCUAACUCGGCGCUGUAAACCAAAAGAAAAGUGAUUGCACUGAUAGCGCGCUCCCAUCUGAGCAAAAGAUUUAUAAAUCUUCUCAAAAAUCAAUGAUGAGAAUCGAUCAGAUCUUUGAGGCAGCUUAAGGGCGAUGGUGGAUAAUCUGAACACUGUCUCUGGAUGACAGUCAUAUUUCCCAGUAUUUCAUUAGAUCAUCUAUGCAAUUCUGCAUAGGUGGAAGUGACUGAUGAAUUGUCGAGGUGGUAGGAAGUAAGAAUUUCCUAUCUGUUGAGGUGGUAGGAAGUAGGAUUUUCCCAUCUAGCCUUAAGCAUUUUGCAUCUGCGAGAGCCGACAGCCAGUCAAUGCCCAACUGGUUCGCCACCUAAUUGUAAGCCUCAUGCAGAGUUACACACCCUGCUGCCGUCUGCUGGUCAUCUACCCCUGUAAGUAACCUGGGGACUCCAUUUGGGGAACAAAUGGAUCUUACUCGUCCUCCUCCUCGCCCUCAUCUGACAAAUAUUCCGAGGCAGCAAUGGAAAGGGAAUCAUUGUGAAGUGAAGUGACGUGAAGGCCAAGUAUGGUAACCCAUACUCGGUAUUUGUCCUCUGCACUCACAUUAUGGGCAGUGAGUAGUGAACACACACAGACACACACACACACUGCAAGUCAUAGACACACAUCUGGAGCAGUGGGCAGCCAUUUGCUGCGGCGCCCGGGAAGUGAUUGGGGGUUAGGUGCCUUGCUCAAGGGCACCACAGUCAUGGGUAUUGAGGGUCGAAGAGUGCACUGUUCAUUCACUCCCCCACCUACAUUUUUCCUGCCGGUAUCGAGAAUCGAAUCCGCAACCUUUGGGUUACAAGUCUGACUCUCUAACCAUCAGGCCAUGACUGCAUCUGGUAGGACCUUUGGGAAUGGUUCAAUUUACAUCACGAAAGCGACCGGUUCCCCAAGCACGUCGGAAGGAGUAAGCUACCAAAAUCGUCAUCGAGAUUGCAUAGGAGAUUGCUUUUUUUGUUUCGGGGGAUGCUGCCAUGCUGUCUCCCCCCUGUAAGGAAUCAUGACACAUGUCCUGUACAAACACCGCUCUCCUGCGCAGUGCUCCAUUUGAAAGUUUGCUGCACUGCUUACAGGAGAUUGGUGUCUGUAAUGAUGCUUGGGCAUGCUCUGGGCCCAGACAUGCCGGGCAUACCACAUGCAGAUUCCUAGCUGCAAUAGCGAAUCCACACCCCCCAGGACAAGUGCGAGAAGGUGCUCUGGACUUGUUAGACUCCAUAGAAGAAGCCAUGCUCAACUGGAUUUCAGACUUGAUGAUUUCUUCAAUGACAUCCUCCAGGGUGAUAAUGCCAAGAACUUCGUAGAAUGGGUCACCUUCACCUUCGUUGUUAACCCGCUGGACUAUUGCCAGGUGGCGCUAUGACUAACUGAAUAUUGCCAUACAGACGUAUUCAGGCCAGGACUCUUAUCACACUUGUGAAGUUUGGGGCAGAUCGGACAUUGUAUGCCUGAGUUACAACAGCUUCCUCUUUCAUGGCGAAACAUCAGACUUUGUCAGGCUGCCACGGACACGCCCUUCAACGAAAACUCAAGAUCUUUGCAAUUUAACAUCGCUAAGGCCUUAAGAUUAGACUGAUCAUAUAUGAUGUGGUUCUGGUUAAAUGGCUAUGAGGAGUUAAUCACAGUGUAAAACAUGUCAUUUCCUGUUGACCGCAGGUACUUAUUAAUAGUUAGUAAGUUUGUGGUUAAGUUUAGGUAUUUGAUAGGAUUAAGGAUGUAGAAUAUUGUCAUGCAGAAUAAGGCAUUAAUAUGGGCUUAUUAAGUACUAAUAAACAGCCAAUAUUCUAAUAAUAUGCAUGCUAAUAAGCAACUAGCUAAAUGACCCUAAAAUAAAGUAUUACCAUUAUUUCACUUGUUUGCACACUUCAAUUAAUAACAACUGAUAUUUUAGUAUGACAAUGUUCAAUGUUUUGAUUGUGUUAAAUGAGUUUUGGCAAUGAAAUAAAAUGUUUGCUUAUUUGUAGAUCAAUACAUAUUAAAUGUCUGUAGAAAUCUUUCCUAUUAGUGCUGACUAAUGACUAGUGCUGGCUAAAAUAAAUAACAAACAUGGUUCAUCAAUCAGUACUUUUUACUUUUAAUACAUAAGUACUUUUACUCAAGUAAAAUUAAAAAUGAGUAAUUAUACUUUUAGUAAUAUUUUUGUUACAGAUGUACUUUAACUCAAGUACCAGAUACUUUUUCAACCACUGUUUGUGUGUGUGUGUGUGUGUGUGUGUGUGUGUGUGUAAACCAUGCAUGUGAGUAACCAGUUGCGACUGCAACAAGCUACACUGAUUGAUUGAUUGA